rnacentral:misc_RNA from 1 species
GAUGAAGAACGUAGCGAAAUGCGAUAAGUAAUGUGAAUUGCAGAAUUCAGUGAAUCAUCGAAUCUUUGAACGCACCUUGCGCCCUUUGGCUAUUCCGAAGGGCAUGCCUGUUUGAGUAUCGUGAACACCUCAACUCUCAUGGUUUGCCAUGAUGAGCUUGGACUUUGGGGGUUUUGCUGGCCUUUGGUCGGCUCCUCUCAAACGGAUCAGCUUUCCAGUGUUUGGUGGCGUCACGGGUGUGAUAACUAUCUACGCCUGUGGUUUUCUGCCAGAUAACCUUCAGCGAUGGAGGUUCGCUGGGGCUCAUAAAUGUCUCUCUUCAGUGGAGACAGCUUUUUGGACGUUUGAUCUCAAAUCAGGUAGGACUACCCGCUGAACUUAAGCAUAUCAAUAGCGGAGGA